UGAGGAAUAUUGGUCAAUGGGCGAGAGCCUGAACCAGCCAAGUAGCGUGCAGGAUGACGGCCCUAUGGGUUGUAAACUGCUUUUAUAAGGGAAUAAAGUGAGAGUCGUGACUCUUUUUGCAUGUACCUUAUGAAUAAGGACCGGCUAAUUCCGUGCCAGCAGCCGCGGUAAUACGGAAGGUCCGGGCGUUAUCCGGAUUUAUUGGGUUUAAAGGGAGCGUAGGCCGGAGAUUAAGCGUGUUGUGAAAUGUAGGCGCUCAACGUCUGCACUGCAGCGCGAACUGGUUUCCUUGAGUACGCACAAAGUGGGCGGAAUUCGUGGUGUAGCGGUGAAAUGCUUAGAUAUCACGAAGAACUCCGAUUGCGAAGGCAGCUCACUGGAGCGCAACUGACGCUGAAGCUCGAAAGUGCGGGUAUCGAACAGGAUUAGAUACCCUGGUAGUCCGCACGGUAAACGAUGGAUGCCCGCUGUUGGUCUGAACAGGUCAGCGGCCAAGCGAAAGCAUUAAGCAUCCCACCUGGGGAGUACGCCGGCAACGGUGAAACUCAAAGGAAUUGACGGGGGCCCGCACAAGCGGAGGAACAUGUGGUUUAAUUCGAUGAUACGCGAGGAACCUUACCCGGGCUUGAAUUGCAGAGGAAGGAUUUGGAGACAAUGACGCCCUUCGGGGCCUCUGUGAAGGUGCUGCAUGGUUGUCGUCAGCUCGUGCCGUGAGGUGUCGGCUUAAGUGCCAUAACGAGCGCAACCCCUCUCCUUAGUUGCCAUCAGGUUAAGCUGGGCACUCUGGGGACACUGCCACCGUAAGGUGUGAGGAAGGUAGGGAUGACGUCAAAUCAGCACGGCCCUUACGUCCGGGGCUACACACGUGUUACAAUGGCAGGUACAGAGAGACGGUCCCUUGCAAAAUGGAUCAAAUCCUUAAAGCCUGUCUCAGUUCGGACUGGGGUCUGCAACCCGACCCCACGAAGCUGGAUUCGCUAGUAAUCGCGCAUCAGCCAUGGCGCGGUGAAUACGUUCCC
rnacentral:rRNA from 1 species